rnacentral:rRNA from 1 species
GGGCAAAUGGGGGGCAGCUUACCAUGCAAGUCGAGCGGUAGCACAGGGGAGCUUGCUCCCUGGGUGACGAGCGGCGGACGGGUGAGUAAUGUCUGGGAAACUGCCUGAUGGAGGGGGAUAACUACUGGAAACGGUAGCUAAUACCGCAUAACGUCGCAAGACCAAAGAGGGGGACCUUCGGGCCUCUUGCCAUCAGAUGUGCCCAGAUGGGAUUAGCUAGUAGGUGGGGUAAUGGCUCACCUAGGCGACGAUCCCUAGCUGGUCUGAGAGGAUGACCAGCCACACUGGAACUGAGACACGGUCCAGACUCCUACGGGAGGCAGCAGUGGGGAAUAUUGCACAAUGGGCGCAAGCCUGAUGCAGCCAUGCCGCGUGUGUGAAGAAGGCCUUCGGGUUGUAAAGCACUUUCAGCGAGGAGGAAGGUGGUGAGCUUAAUACGUUCAUCAAUUGACGUUACUCGCAGAAGAAGCACCGGCUAACUCCGUGCCAGCAGCCGCGGUAAUACGGAGGGUGCAAGCGUUAAUCGGAAUUACUGGGCGUAAAGCGCACGCAGGCGGUUUGUUAAGUCAGAUGUGAAAUCCCCGGGCUCAACCUGGGAACUGCAUUUGAAACUGGCAAGCUAGAGUCUCGUAGAGGGGGGUAGAAUUCCAGGUGUAGCGGUGAAAUGCGUAAAGAUCUGGAGGAAUACCGGUGGGCGAAGGCGGCCCCCUUGGACUAAGACUGACGCUCAAGUGCUAAAUCGUGGGGAGCCAAACAGGAAUAAA